UAGCGACCACCGUUUCCCUCACCGUUUACGGACGACGUGGUGCGUUCCGCGGUUUGUCAUUUGUGGAUAAACACUGACAUCUAUCUCUUCACCUCACCUCGCUCCACAGUAUCGUGCUCUAGUAGCUGGUCCUCAUCUCCCUCUCAUCGCUGUGAAUGCAAAUAUUCAAAAUUUUGUUGCAGCAAUGGAUGCUACAAAUAGAGAAUAUAGAAAGCAUUGCAGGCAGAUUAUUACAACAGUUGUAUGCCUGUUGAUUGAAUACUAUGACUCAUACAUCAAUUGAACUUCAUGCAUGACCUCAAGUUUUACUGGGAAUAAAUGGAAAAGUGAGAUGCACGAGGGUAUCCAAUGAGAUUUCAUAACAUGUUUUCCAUGAUGCAACAUAUCUUCAGUGAUUUUUUGAGUGAGCUCCACACUACUUACAAUCUUCAUGACAGAUUUUGAAAUGGCGAGUCAAGCGGUACGUGGAAGAAAAGAGAUGUUCAAAGGGGAUUAUUUUAUUAAAAAUGAGCUCAAGCAAUGCGAGAAGCUCUAAGGGGACCAAACAUCAACUAGUCUUUUGUGAUUGUAACAUGUGUUGUAUUUAUGGCACAAAAGAGUGACAACAUAGACAGAAAGUUUUAUAAAUAUUCCAAAAAUUUGAUUAAUAAAGGAUGCAGAUUUUUUCAGUAGGUUGUUGAGCAAAGAGAUGCAAUCACAAAUCAAGGAUCUCCCAGCAGAUGAAGGUCAAAAGAUUUUUUGUUUGUUAGAGAAAGUUUAAUUAGCUUUAAAACAAUGUUCCUUAUCUUAAUGACGUCCCAUUUUUCGAACAAGAUGUACAAUCAAAGGCAAGGUUUGUUAGUUGAUUGCGGAUAGUGUAUGUACAAAGAAUGUGAUAGCUUAGUCAAUUGUUAAAACUCUGUGAUUGAAAACUUUGAAACACCCAAACCUUAAUAAGAACAAUUGGAUUAA